AUUGAACGCUGGCGGCAUGCCUUACACAUGCAAGUCGAACGGCAGCGGGGCCUUCGGUCCGCCGGCGAGUGGCGAACGGGUGAGUAAUGUAUCGGAACGUACCAUUGAGUGGGGGAUAACGUAGCGAAAGUUACGCUAAUACCGCAUAUUCUCCACGGAGGAAAGCAGGGGACCGCAAGGCCUUGCGCUCUUUGAGCGGCCGAUAUCAGUAUGGCUAGUUGGUGAGGAAAAGGCUCACCUAGGCGACGAUCUGUAGCGGGUCUGGGAGGAGGGUCCGCCACACUGGAACUGAGACAGGGUCCAGAUCCCAACGGGAGGCAGCAGGGGGGAAUUUUGGCCAAUGGGGGAAGCCCUGAUCCGCCAAUCCGGCGUGAGGGGGAAGGCCUUCGGGUUGUAAAGCUCUUUCAGCCGGGAAAAAAUCGCAUGGGCUAAUACCCUGUGUGGAUGAUGGUACCGGAAUAAGAAGCACCGGCUAACUACGUGCCAGCCGCCGCGGUAACAC
rnacentral:rRNA from 1 species